CGGCAGGCUUAACACAUGCAAGUCGAGCGGGGGAAGGUAGCUUGCUACUGGACCUAGCGGCGGACGGGUGAGUAAUGCCUAGGAAUCUGCCUAUUAGUGGGGGACAACAUCUCGAAAGGGAUGCUAAUACCGCAUACGUCCUACGGGAGAAAGCAGGGGAUCUUCGGACCUUGCGCUAAUAGAUGAGCCUAAGUCGGAUUAGCUAGUUGGUGGGGUAAAGGCCUACCAAGGCGACGAUCUGUAGCGGGUCUGAGAGGAUGAUCCGCCACACUGGGACUGAGACACGGCCCAGACUCCUACGGGAGGCAGCAGUGGGGAAUAUUGGACAAUGGGGGGAACCCUGAUCCAGCCAUGCCGCGUGUGUGAAGAAGGCCUUAUGGUUGUAAAGCACUUUAAGCGAGGAGGAGGCUACUUUAGUUAAUACCUAGAG
rnacentral:rRNA from 1 species